GACGAACGCUGGCGGCGUGCCUAAUACAUGCAAGUCGAACGCUUCUUUCCUCCCGAGUGCUUGCACUCAAUUGGAAGGAGGAGUGGCGGACGGGUGAGUAACACGUGGGUAACCUACCCAUCAGAGGGGGAUGACACUUGGAAACAGGUGCUAAUACCGCAUAACAGUUUAUGCCGCAUGGCAUAAGAGUGAAAGGCGCUUUCGGGUGUCGCUGAUGGAUGGACCCGCGGUGCAUUAGCUAGUUGGUGAGGUAACGGCUCACCAAGGCCACGAUGCAUAGCCGACCUGAGAGGGUGAUCGGCCACACUGGGACUGAGACACGGCCCAGACUCCUACGGGAGGCAGCAGUAGGGAAUCUUCGGCAAAGGACGAAAGUCUGACCGAGCAACGCCGCGUGAGUGAAGAAGGUUUUCGGAUCGUAAAACUCUGUUGUUAGAGAAGAACAAGGACGUUAGUAACUGAACGUCCCCUGACGGUAUCUAACCAGAAAGCCACGGCUAACUACGUG
rnacentral:rRNA from 1 species